rnacentral:rRNA from 1 species
CCGCCAAGUAUGCUUCCGAGAAAAACUUCUAAACGUUGUAAUUCCAAGUUGCCCGUACCGUAAACCGACACAGGUGGUCGAGGAGAGUAUCCUAAGGUGCUCGAGUGAAUCACGGUUAAGGAACUAGGCAAAUUCACCCCGUAACUUCGGGAGAAGGGGUCCCUCGCGAGAGGGCGCAGUGAAGAGGUCCAGGCGACUGUUUAUCAAAAACACAGGGCUAUGCAAAUUCUAACGACGAAGUAUAUGGCCUGACACCUGCCCGGUGCCGGAAGGUUAAGAGGGGAAGUCAUCGCAAGAGAAGCUUUGAAUCGAAGCCCCGGUAAACGGCGGCCGUAACAAUAACGGUCCUAAGGUAGCGAAAUUCCUUGUCGGGUAAGUUCCGACCUGCACGAAUGGUGUAACGAUCUGGACACUGUCUCAACCGUGAGCUCGGUGAAAUUGUAGUCCCGGUGAAGAUGCCGGGUACCCGCAACGGGACGAAAAGACCCCGUGAACCUUUACUGCAGCUUCACGCUGAGUUUGGGUGCAUAAUGUGUAGGAUAGGCAGGAGACUGAGAAGCAUGUACGCCAGUAUGUGUGGAGUCGCCGUUGAAAUACUGCCCUUUGUGUAUUUGAAUUCUAACCACGAGAGUGGGACACCGUGUGGUGGGUAGUUUGACUGGGGUGGUCGCCUCCAAAAGAGUAACGGAGGCUUCCCAAGGUGCCCUCAGCACGGAUGGUAAUCGUGCGUAGAGUGCAAUAGCAUAAGGGUGCUUGACUGUGAGACUAACAAGUCGACCAGGUGCGAAAGCAGGGUAUAGUGAUCCGGUGGUUCUGUGUGGACUGGCCAUCGCUCAAAGGAUAAAAGGUACUCCGGGGAUAACAGGCUGAUCGCCGCCAAGAGCUCAUAUCGACGCGGCGGUUUGGCACCUUGAUGUCGGCUCGUCACAUCCUGGGGCUGGAGAAGGUCCCAAGGGUUCGGCUGUUCGCCGAUUAAAGUGGCACGCGAGCUGGGUUCAGAACGUCGUGAGACAGUUCGGUCUCUAUCUGUUGUGGGCGUAGGAAUUUUGAGGGGUCCUGACUUUAGUACGAGAGGACCGAGUUGGACGAACCUCCGGUGUAUCGGUUGUGCCGCCAGGUGCAGAGCCGAGUAGCCGCGUUCGGAUUGGAUAAGCGCUGAAAGCAUCUAAGCGCGAAGCCAACCCCAAGAUAAGAAUUCCCUUGAGGGUCGUGGGAGACUACCACGUUGAUAGGCCGCAGGUGUAAGCGCAGUAAUGUGUUCAGCCGAGCGGUACUAAUUGCCCGA